rnacentral:lncRNA from 1 species
UUCUUUAGUCAAUAGUAUAUAUUAUGUCAAUUUGAAUAAUGACAUAAACGAUAACAUCAGCACAAACAUUGGGCUAUAAAAUGUUAUAUAUGUCUAUGUACAUUUAUUGUCUAAAAGCAUUUUUCCAAUGUAUUAUUUGAUUUGUUGUUUCUUUGAAAUGGAAUAAGUACAUGUUAAAGUUGAGUUUCCUUCCAACUCAUUUUAUAAUAAAUAG